rnacentral:rRNA from 1 species
GAUGAACGCUGGCGGCGUGCUUAACACAUGCAAGUCGAACGGAAAGGCCCAAGCUUGCUUGGGUACUCGAGUGGCGAACGGGUGAGUAACACGUGGGUGAUCUGCCCUGCACUUCGGGAUAAGCCUGGGAAACUGGGUCUAAUACCGGAUAGGACCACUUCUUGGAUGUUGUGGUGGAAAGUUUUUUCGGUGUGGGAUGAGCUCGCGGCCUAUCAGCUUGUUGGUGGGGUAAUGGCCUAACAAGGCGUCGACGGGUAGCCGGCCUGAGAGGGUGUACGGCCACAUUGGGACUGAGAUACGGCCCAGAACCCUACGGGAGGGAGGAGGGGGGGAUAUUGCACAAUGGGGGCAAGCCUGAUGCAGCGACGCCGCGUGGGGGAUGACGGCCUUCGGGUUGGAAACUCCUUUCGCUAGGGACGAAGCGUUUUGUGACGGUACCUGGAGAAGAAGCACCGGCUAACUACGUG